UACAUUGAAAAUACAAAAAAAUCGAGAUUCACUAUUUUUUAUUUCAAGCAUUGAAAAAUUGAAGCAAAGCAUAGUGAAAAAUAUUUUUUGAUUAAUGUAAAUUUUUGAGAAAUGUGAAUUUUUUUAGUCAUGUGAAUAUGAGGUGUUGUUGAUUGGGGAAGAGGGGUGGGGUGGGAUCAUAAGUUUCAUUUGUUAUUUUCUGAAAAUGACUUCCCUUAACUCAUGAGGGAAGUCCGCCAACUCCUAUCCCGAAGAUACAAAGCGCCCAGUCCUCUUCUCUUGUGUCGAAGUGCAGUGUAGUGUGGUGAGGUUUUGCCUCACAGAAAGAGUGGGAAAUUGGGAUCAAAAAAGGCAAUUUCUUUUCGUUAAGUCAUUUUCUCUCAAAUUGAGGAAAAUGAGUUGUGGAAAAUAUUUUCUAAAUAUUUUAUUGCAACCAAACAAGGAAAAAUAGGAAAAUAUUUUUCUAUCGUACCAAACACACCCAUAAUGUGAAAUAAUCGAAUUAUAUAAAAAUUAUUAUUUGAUAAGAAAAAACUUAUAAAAAGGUAUAUCAUAAGAAAAAAUUCAUCUAGAAAAGGUUAUGUACUUAGUUAUGUUAAAUGACAUUUGAGGCUUUGCCUUCAUGUCCUCACCCUUUCAUUUUGUUUGAUCCUCUUUCUUGUUUUUUGUUUAUUUUGUUGACAAAUGCUCUUGCCUUAUUUCUACAUCAUAAACAGAAACUGGAAUCCUAAACUCAAGCAAGCAUGAGUCUGCGCAGGGAUUUCUACGGGUGUUGCCUCCUAUCUGCAUGCCUGUGAUAUAUCUGUGUUCUGCUAUAGUCAAAGCAGCAGCCCUUCCUUCAUGCUUAUUAGCUGGCGCUCUCAUGGUUAUUCCCAAUCUGCUCUAUUUCUCACACCAACUAUUUGCUUCUUUUUUCUUUUUUCAUUAAGUUAAAAAAGUAAGCAGAAAAUAGAUUGGAGAUGCAGUCUAUCCCCGUACCUCUCGCACGCUAAGCAAGCGCUCUACCAACUGAGCUACAUCCCCUGCUUUAUAUGCUUCUUCUUUCUUGGUCAUUGUCUUUUAUUUUUCACAAAUCUCAAUCACAUGAGCAUCAUUGUAGUUGCUUAUCUGUAGGCUGUGAAGAUUCAUUGGGUUUGAGCCUUCUGGGCCCGUAUCUUGGCGGGGUAAAGCAGUAAGGCUUAAGCAGAGCCUUCUCUUUCUAGCCAUGGCGGUGUCCCGUUACUUUACCUGAUCUUAUGACAGAUCUGAGCCUGCCUAUGUACUCAUAACUCAGGAUGUUACUUCAUAGAUAGAUAUCUAAAAAAGAUGGUAAUAAUCUCUUAUAGUUGCCUGGGAAAGAGAAGGACAAUGGUGAAAGAAAGUGAAUACUACUUCCCCUUGUCACGAAAAAGGAAGGUCAUAUUCCUAAAUGCAAUACAUGAGCCUUUCGGUUAAAAGUUCUCUUCGUGGACUAGCCCAGAAAUGGCAAGAAUGAGGCAAAUUAGAGUAUGUGAUUUCUUUCAAGGAUGGUUGCUCCUCUCGGCUUUCUCUAUGAUUCUCCCCUUUUCCAACAGACUAACAACCCUUAAGAGCAAAUAACACUUCAAUUUCCUUUUUAAAAAAAAAAAUCCAUCCAAAAACACUUCAAUUCGUCAACUCUCAUUGUUAGUGGAACUGGAAAGUGUUUCAUUAUUAUGCAUUCUACUGUUAAAGGGGCUAUGAUGAUGCUUAUAAAUUUUUCAAUUUUGGGAUGAUCAUUGAGCACUGAGAAUUGAGAUGACUUGACCCAUAUCUUGGCGUGGCAACCUUGCUCAUGCAAACAGUGUUUUGCAGCCAUGGCGUGGCUGACUUCUCUUUUGCCUUAUCAUUAUAUGCAUCUGAGCCUCAAUUUGUUGAAGAACAAAAGUAGGCGUUUGGACAAUAUUAGAGUUGGAAGCCGAUAAAUUCUCGUAAAUGCAGAAUUUUGAGGUCUCUUCAAUUAUAAGCUCUCAUAUAAGCGAAUUGCAUUUGUUAGGUUAGCCAAGAAAUAGAGAGAAUGAGGCUGCAGAGAGUAUGGGAUUUCCUUCAAGGGUGGUUGCCCCUAUCUGCUUUGCCUAUGAUUCUCCCUUUCUCAACAAACCAACAGCCCUUGAGAGAAAGAAAGAGCAACAUAGUACAUCAGUUUCUGUUCCUGUAUGACCAUUCAUGAAAUUUCCCCAAUAUACGAGUAAACCAAAACAACUACGCAGCCUUCAGAUCUUCAGUCUGUCUUCUCAUGGCCCUUCGCACCUUUCUUCCUUUUUACUCUAAAUUGUUAGUAAAAAUUGGAAAGUUUUACAUUAUGAUGCAUUCUGCUACAUAAAGGGCUAUGAUGAUGCUUAUAUAUAUCUUCUAGUUCUGUGCUGAUCAUGGAGUACUGAGAUGAACCAACCUGUAUCUUGGCGUGGCAACCUGGUAUGGCCAGUAAUUGAGAACUCUCCCCCUCAUGCAAUCGGUGUUUUGCAGCCAUGGCAAGACUGGCUUCUCUUUUUGCCAUAUCAUCACAUGCAUCUGAGCCUCAAUUUGCUGAAGAACAUAAGUAGGCAUUUGGACAUUAUUUUCAGUUGAAAUUGUGAAAUUCUCUUAAAUGCAGACUUGUGAGGUCUCUUCAGUUAAAAGCUCUCAUUUAAGCAAAAUUCCUUAAUUUGGCAGAAAUGGUGCGAAUGAGGCUGCAGAGAGUUUGGGAUUUCUUUCAAGGGUGGUUGCGCCUCUCUGCUUUGCCUAUGAUUCUCCCUUUCUCAACAAAGCAACAGCCCUUAAAAAAGAAAAGAAAAGAAAUAUAUUCAACUUCAGUUUCUUGGUUUCUUUUUGUUAUGUUGUUGUAAUACAUACUCAAAACCUGAAUACAAAACUAUACCACUUCUGAGUAAGAGAUAUUUCACUUCAGUUUCUUGGUUCUUCGGUCUGUCUCCUUUAUGGCUUUGGAAACUCUUAAAGAGGCAAUGAUGAGAACUUUUUCUAAAUCUGACCACUGAUUCGGGCAUGGAGACGAUCCGAUCUGUAUCUUGGCGUGGCAACCCGGUGUGGCUGUGAAUGCUAAAAGUGUCUACCUGGCAUUAUGCUACCUGUGAUUGAGAUUCUUCUCUCAUACACGCAACCGAUGUUUUGCAGCCAUGGCGUGGUUGGCUUCUCUUUUGCCUUAUCAUCACAUAUAUCUGAGCCUCAAUUUGCUAAAGAAAAUAUAUCAAACCCACGCCCUUUUGUUUAAAAAUUAUUUUGCUUUUCCCUCGUAAUGUAUUUCCAAUCUUUUAUCCGUAACAACUCAAGAAUGAGGCAAAUGUGGGAUUUUUGUGAUGGUGGUUGCCUUCCUUAUCUGAAAAAAUGUAAAUGAAUAUUUACAAAAGGAAGAGAAAAAAACCACACUUGGAAGCUUCCAAUGGUGUUUCCUCCUCCCAUCUGCAUGCCCAUGAUAUCUGCAUAUUCUGCUGCUGCUAAAGCAACAGACCAUUAAUGCUUAGCUGACGCUCUUAUCAUCUUAUGGGUAUUCACCGUCUGACUCAUUUCUCUCACUAUUGGCUACUUAUUUCUUGGUCAUCAUCAUUUCUUUUUUUCACAAAUCUCGAUUGCUACUAUCAUCAUUGCCGUUGCAUGUCUGUAGGUUGUGAUGGUAUAGCUACUUGACAUCAUUGGGAUUGGAUCUGCUUGUCUCGUAGAUAGGCAGGGCAAACCAGGAUGGCUCAAGCAAGAGUAUUUUCUUGCAUGCAAUUCUUGUUUGCAGCCGUGAUGGUGUCCUCUUCCUUUACCUGAUCUUAUGAUAGAUUUUAACCUACUUAUGUACUGACGAUUGUCGCUAAUAGCUAUCUGAAAAUAGAUGGAAAAAACUUAAUAGAUAUAUGCCUGGAGAAAGAGAACGAAAAUGAUGAAGAACUACUUUCCCUUGUGAUGACAUUUCCCUGUGCCACUCUGAGACCAACAACUCUUAUUUAUGGAAAGAGUUUUACUUCUAUAAACUGAUAGUUCCUCCUAAUACUACUCUACAUCUCUGCCUUUCCUCUGUGCGUUGUUGGAGUGUUAAAGGAGGGUACAUAAAGAGGUGCUGAUGAUGAGGGGCUAAAUAAUUUGGGCAUUGAGGCCACCUAACCCAUAUCUUGGCUGGUGAUUUGAGUUUUUCCUUUUCACAUGCACUGGUGUUUUUGCAGCAAUGGCAUGGUUGCCUUCUCUUUACCUGAUCUUUUUUGCAGAUCUAAGCCUUGCCUUUUUUUGGCACCUGCAAUUUGUUAUCCGAAGCACACUUUUUGCCCCAAUUUUUUUGCUUAAAUCUUUCAGUAUCCAAAUAAAAAAUGAGGAAAUAUAGGGAAAUAUGAGGAUCGUUCUAUAUGUUCUUAGUUUCUAACUUUCCUCUUUCAUGCAGUAAAGGUGGACGAAUCAUGGCUGAAUGGUAUCGUCUAUAAGUUUGUUUUUGUCGAUGACUUUGAUGGCUGUUGUGCAUAUCUUUUCUUUUCUUUUUCUUUUUUGCCUUGGCUGUGAGAUUGUUCCUUGGAAGCAGUUGUAGAAGAUGUUCAAAUAGCAAUUGUUGCUACACGUAAAAGAAGCUGUGAUGAUACUUUUGGGCUAAUCAAUGAGCGUGGAGACGAUCCAAUCUGUAUCUUUGCUUUGGCAACUCAAUGUAGCGUGUUAGGUUUCUCUUACAUGCAACCUGUGCUUUGGAGCCAUGGAGUAAUGAGCUUCUCUCUGCAAUCUAACGCAAGUUUGAGCCUCGAUUUGCUUUUAAAAAAGACAACCUUUUUCUUAGUUUAAUGCAGGGAUAUGAUCGAUCGAGCAUGAGAUGAUCAUGUUGCUAAGUUAGAAGAAUAAGGAUCUCUCACUUUUCACCAUGCCUGUUUGUUGCACUUCUUCCUGUGUGGCUGUCAUUUUCAACCAGCAUUGAUCAGCACCAUAAGCAUUGGAGUUCCACUCAUAACUUCAAGAAUGCAGUUCGCAACAAAACCAAUGUAAUCUCAAUAGCGGGGUCUGGGGAGGUUACAGUGUGGAGGUAUAGAGAAGGUUGUUCCGGAAGAUCCUCAGUUCAAGUAAUUGAUCAAGAUUUACAGUGAGGAGGAUUAUUGAAGCUCCAUUUCUUACUGCUGAUAUUGCAUGAAACACAUUUAAUUAAUCUCAUCUUUAGCUUUUUCUCUUUGAUUCAGAAAGAGAUGCAACUUGCUAGAUUGGAUGGUAUCCAUGUGUCAAAAUUCAUCUUUUAUUUCCUAGAUACCCCUAGUUUAUCCAUUAAGGAGUUGUUUGGUAGGAGGGUUAAGGAUAACUAAUUCUGGGAUUAAUUUAGAAGAGGAGUUCAUCCCAUGUUUGGUUGGGACAAAAUGCAUGGGGUAACUCAUCUCAAGAUUAGUUAUUUCGGAAUUGUAGUGUUUUUUUUAUCAUUCCUUGAGGGUGAGAUAACUAAUUUCGGCAUAACUUGUUUUCCAACCAAACGACCCCUAAGUUUAGAAUUUUGAACAAA